AGAGUUUGAUCCUGGCUCAGGAUGAACGCUAGCUACAGGCUUAACACAUGCAAGUCGAGGGGAAACGAUAUUGGAAGCUUGCUUCCGAUAGGCGUCGACCGGCGCACGGGUGAGUAACGCGUAUCCAACCUGCCCACCACUUGGGGAUAACCUUGCGAAAGUAAGACUAAUACCCAAUGAUAUCUCUAGAAGACAUCUGAAAGAGAUUAAAGAUUUAUCGGUGAUGGAUGGGGAUGCGUCUGAUUAGCUUGUUGGCGGGGUAACGGCCCACCAAGGCAACGAUCAGUAGGGGUUCUGAGAGGAAGGUCCCCCACAUUGGAACUGAGACACGGUCCAAACUCCUACGGGAGGCAGCAGUGAGGAAUAUUGGUCAAUGGACGAGAGUCUGAGCCAGCCAAGUAGCGUGCAGGAAGACGGCCCUAUGGGUUGUAAACUGCUUUUAUAAGGGAAUAAAGUGAGAGUCGUGACUCUUUUUGCAUGUACCUUAUGAAUAAGGACCGGCUAAUUCCGUGCCAGCAGCCGCGGUAAUACGGAAGGUCCGGGCGUUAUCCGGAUUUAUUGGGUUUAAAGGGAGCGUAGGCCGGAGAUUAAGCGUGUUGUGAAAUGUAGACGCUCAACGUCUGCACUGCAGCGCGAACUGGUUUCCUUGAGUACGCACAAAGUGGGCGGAAUUCGUGGUGUAGCGGUGAAAUGCUUAGAUAUCACGAAGAACUCCGAUUGCGAAGGCAGCUCACUGGAGCGCAACUGACGCUGAAGCUCGAAAGUGCGGGUAUCGAACAGGAUUAGAUACCCUGGCAGUCCGCACGGUAAACGAUGGAUGCCCGCUGUUAGUCUGAAUAGGUCAGCGGCCAAGCGAAAGCAUUAAGCAUCCCACCUGGGGAGUACGCCGGCAACGGUGAAACUCAAAGGAAUUGACGGGGGCCCGCACAAGCGGAGGAACAUGUGGUUUAAUUCGAUGAUACGCGAGGAACCUUACCCGGGCUUGAAUUGCAGAGGAAGGAUUUGGAGACAAUGACGCCCUUCGGGGCCUCUGUGAAGGUGCUGCAUGGUUGUCGUCAGCUCGUGCCGUGAGGUGUCGGCUUAAGUGCCAUAACGAGCGCAACCCCUCUCCUUAGUUGCCAUCAGGUUAAGCUGGGCACUCUGGGGACACUGCCACCGUAAGGUGUGAGGAAGGUGGGGAUGACGUCAAAUCAGCACGGCCCUUACGUCCGGGGCUACACACGUGUUACAAUGGCAGGUACAGAGAGACGGU
rnacentral:rRNA from 1 species